rnacentral:rRNA from 1 species
UACAGAGGUCUCAAGCGUUAUUCGGAAUCACUGGGCGUAAAGGGUGCGUAGGCGGCGCGGAAAGUCAGGGGUGAAAUCCCGGAGCUCAACUCCGGAACUGCCUUUGAUACUCCCGCGCUGGAGAGCUGGAGGGGACAUCGGAAUUCACGGUGGAGCAGUGAAAUGCGCAGAUAUCGGGAGGAACACCACUGGCGAAGGCAGCUCGCUGGGACGUUACUGACGCUGAGACGCGAAAGCGUGGGGAGCAAACAGG